rnacentral:rRNA from 1 species
CCUACGGGGGGCAGCAGUGAGGAAUAUUGGUCAAUGGACGGAAGUCUGAACCAGCCAUGCCGCGUGCAGGAAGACGGCUCUAUGAGUUGUAAACUGCUUUUGUACAAGGGUAAACCUGAAUACGUGUAUUCAGCUGAAAGUACUGUACGAAUAAGGAUCGGCUAACUCCGUGCCAGCAGCCGCGGUAAUACGGAGGAUCCAAGCGUUAUCCGGAUUUAUUGGGUUUAAAGGGUGCGUAGGCGGGUUAUCAAGUCAGCGGUAAAAUCGUGGAGCUCAACUCCAUCCAGCCGUUGAAACUGAUGAUCUUGAGUGGGCGAGAAGUAUGCGGAAUUCGUGGUGUAGCGGUGAAAUGCUUAGAUAUCACGAAGAACUCCGAUUGCGAAGGCAGCUUACUAAACUGCCACUGACAUUGAUGCUCGAAAGUGUGGGUAUCAAACAGGAUUAGAUACCCCAGUAGUC